ACGGGGUGAGUAAUGCUUAGGAAUCUGCCUAUGAGUGGGGGACAACAUCUCGAAAGGGAUGCUAAUACCGCACACGUCCUACGGGAGAAAGCAGGGGACCUUCGGGCCUUGCGCUAAUAGAUGAGCCUAAGUCGGAUUAGCUAGUUGGUGGGGUAAAGGCCUACCAAGGCGACGAUCUGUAGCGGGUCUGAGAGGAUGAUCCGCCACACUGGGACUGAGACACGGCCCAGACUCCUACGGGAGGCAGCAGUGGGGAAUAUUGGACAAUGGGGGGAACCCUGAUCCAGCCAUGCCGCGUGUGUGAAGAAGGCCUUUUGGUUGUAAAGCACUUUAAGCGAGGAGGAGGCUACCGAGAUUAAUACUCUUGGAUAGUGGACGUUACUCGCAGAAUAAGCACCGGCUAACUCUGUGCCAGCAGCCGCGGUAAUACAGAGGGUGCAAGCGUUAAUCGGAUUUACUGGGCGUAAAGCGCGCGUAGGUGGCCAAUUAAGUCAAAUGUGAAAUCCCCGAGCUUAACUUGGGAAUUGCAUUCGAUACUGGUUGGCUAGAGUAUGGGAGAGGAU
rnacentral:rRNA from 1 species